GAGGGUGUUGCUACUUUGUGAUUGGUUCAAGGAGUGAACCACCAUUGUAAGCUUGGUGCACCAGCACCUUUGGGUCUUUAGUAGCUCGUCAGCAAGUCUUUGACCCCCUAGGUUGGUGUCGAGUGGGGACAAUGUCCGUGUGGGGGAUGCGAAGACUCCCUCCUUCGCGGAGAAGCUUUACAGUGGAGACGGCAUCAAGUGGACCGGAAUAGAAGGAGUGGUGAGCCUUGCCUUUGUAGCAGGCUUCUCAUCCGGCUUAGCGAGAGCCUUUGUGGCGAGCUUAAGAUCUUUACUGGAAGAGACUUGGUGACUGGAAGUAUAUCGAUGGAGCUUCAACAUGGACUAGGGGCAUUUGCCUGCCAAUACCAUAUGAUAAAUUAUUGUACAAGUUUGCAUCCUUUCUAACCCACUCCUUUUACAUUUCCGCAUUUCAUAGUUGCAACUUGAGUGCCUUUACAUUCUUAAAGUAGUUCUUGGUAGGAUUAGCUAUACGUCGCAAAACUCUUUGUGGGAGGGAUGUUUACAACCAUAGAUGCAUAUCUAGAUACAAUAAUCUAGUCUAUAUUUUGAUGCAAAUAGUGAAAGUCGUCAUAGGCUAAGAUUUUUAUAUUUGUCUAAUUCACCCUCUCCCCAUUUUAGGCUAAGAGCAUCUCUUCCUUUCACCUGGCUAGAUUAAUAUUAUCUCUCCUCCCUUUUCCCUCCCA
rnacentral:lncRNA from 1 species